AAGAUAAGAGACUUUCUGAUUAGCCAAGGAAACUGCCUGGUACCGGGUACGAACUAUUUGAACUGUCAGUUUAGCUCGAAUAGAUCAACUUCGAAGCAGGCAAGUCAUCCUUGGCUACCAAAUGAGUCUCUUGUCU
rfam:Eucalyptus grandis cultivar BRASTZ1 unplaced genomic scaffold scaffold_9, whole genome shotgun sequence.